rnacentral:rRNA from 1 species
GAUGAACGCUGGCGGCGUGCCUAAUACAUGCAAGUCGAGCGAACAGACGAGGAGCUUGCUCCUCUGACGUUAGCGGCGGACGGGUGAGUAACACGUGGAUAACCUACCUAUAAGACUGGGAUAACUUCGGGAAACCGGAGCUAAUACCGGAUAAUAUAUUGAACCGCAUGGUUCAAUAGUGAAAGACGGUUUUGCUGUCACUUAUAGAUGGAUCCGCGCCGCAUUAGCUAGUUGGUAAGGUAACGGCUUACCAAGGCAACGAUGCGUAGCCGACCGGAGAGGGUGGUAGGCCACACUGGAACUGGGACACGGUCCAGGCUCCUAAGGGAGGCAGCAGUAGGGAAUCUUCCGCAAUGGGCGAAAGCCUGACGGAGCAACGCCGCGUGAGUGAUGAAGGUCUUCGGAUCGUAAAACUCGGUUAUUAGGGAAGAACAAAUGUGUAAGUAACUAUGCACGUCUUGACGGUACCUAAUCAGAAAGCAACGGCUAACUACGUG